CCUACGGGACGCAGCAGUGGGGGAUAUUGCACAAUGGGGGGAACCCUGAUGCAGCGACGCCGCGUGGGCGAUGGAGUACUUCGGUAUGUAAAACCCUAUCAGCAGGGAAGAAAAUGACGGUACCUGACUAAGAAGCCCCGGCUAAAUACGUGCCAGCAGCCGCGGUAAUACGUAUGGGGCAAGCGUUAUCCGGAUUUACUGGGUGUAAAGGGAGUGUAGGCGGCCUGGCAAGCCUGAUGUGAAAUACCGGGGCCCAACCCCGGGGCUGCAUUGGGAACUGCCAGGCUGGAGUGCCGGAGAGGCAG
rnacentral:rRNA from 1 species